rnacentral:tRNA from 1 species
GUUAGCAUAAUGUAGUGGUUUGAGUGCUGGACUAUGACUCUGGAGACCAGGCUUCAAUUCCCUGUUCUGCCA